GAUGAAGAACGUAGCGAAAUGCGAUAAGUAAUGUGAAUUGCAGAAUUCAGUGAAUCAUCGAAUCUUUGAACGCACAUUGCGCCCGCCAGUAUUCUGGUGGGCAUGCCUGUUCGAGCGUCAUUUCAACCCUCAAGCCCCAGCGGCCUGGUGUUGGGGACCGGCGACCUCGCCCGAGCCCGCCCUCCGGGGCGCGUGCCCGGUGCGUCCGCCGCCCCCGAAAUGAAUUGGCGGCCUCGUCGCGGCCUCCUCUGCGUAGUAGCACAACCUCGCAAGCGGGAGCGCGACGCGGCCACUGCCGUAAAACGCCCAACUUUUUUAGAGUUGACCUCGGAUCAGGUAGGAAUACCCGCUGAACUUAAGCAUAUCAAUAAGCGGAGGA
rnacentral:misc_RNA from 1 species